GUUAGUUUUCUAUAUUAAUAGUUCAAGUUGUAUACAAAAGUAAAUACCAUACUAAACUGAUGAUCUAAAAAAUUCCAAUAUGAUCAUACAUUGUGUGCCUCUAACAAUGCGUAGUAGUACAGUACUUUGACAGCUGAGUUCUGGGAACUGGAAGAUUUUAACCCCUUGAAGUGAACCUUCUCUGUGUUUGUUCGUCCAUCUGUACCUGUGCGUCGCACCGAGUACCUGUCUGUCUCCAUGCACCUGUAUGUAUGUCUUGUCAUUUUGUCCGUUUGCAUGUAUCUCUGAACUCUUUGUGCCUAUUGUGCUCUAUGUGUUUGUGUUGUUCUUGUAGGAGUAAUUUGUUAUAUGUUCCCUAAGUGUGAAGGCUUUCAUUUAUAUUUAUUUCUGCUUAUUCAUUUUUCAGCCAACUGCAGCUAGACCUGAAUUGGAAAAGGACCUUCCCAAGACACCAUGUUUAAUAGGCUUUGGGGCAUCAAGGUUGACGGCAACCAGAUAUAUGUUGUCAAUUGAUGGUGUUGUUGUCACUGACCAUAUCGCAACAUUUACUACUGGGCUGGCUAUGCUGCUGGCCUCCUACUACAACUUCAAUAUAAUGUACCCUGUUGAUUCUGCAUCGACACUGGAGUUCAUUCAAAGAUGCUUUGUUGGCAUCAAUCCAGAGCGGGGCAGCAAGAUUGAAGUAAAGAAGCACUGCAAGAGACGCACCCAAGUCCAUCCCAGAGUUCUGUCCCUGAUUAAUGCUAUUGCUGAUGUAGAGUGGAGGUGCUAAAUCCACAAGGUAAUAUUCAUUACUUCUGAAAACAUUUUUAAUCUUUAAUAAUCUUUUGACUGCUCCCAUUAGGGGUCGCUACAGCGAAUCACUGUUCUCCAACGCGCUUGGUCUUCUGCGUCUUCCUGUGUCACGCCCACCACUUGCAUGCCUCCCUUCACAGCAUCCAUAAAUCUUCUCUUUGGUCUCCCUCUCUUCCUCCUGCUGGGUAGAUCCUUGUCCAGCAUCCUCCUCCCCACAUACUCCUUGUCUCUCCUCCUGACAUGUCCAAACCACCUCAGCCUCGCCUCUCUUGCUUUGUUCCACAAC